rnacentral:rRNA from 1 species
GACAGAGGAUGCAAGCGUUAUCCGGAAUGAUUGGGCGUAAAGCGUCUGUAGGUGGCUUUUUAAGUCCGCCGUCAAAUCCCAGGGCUCAACCCUGGACAGGCGGUGGAAACUACCAAGCUGGAGUACGGUAGGGGCAGAGGGAAUUUCCGGUGGAGCGGUGAAAUGCGUAGAGAUCGGAAGGAACGCCCGUGGCGAAAGCGAGAUCCUGGACGUCUACUGACGCUGAGACGCGAAAGCUAGGGGAGCGAACGGG